rnacentral:lncRNA from 1 species
CGGGGAUUAGUGGGGGAACUUUUUGUCGUGUGCCCGGCUGCCUGGCUUCCGGCACGUGUGGCCGUCUCCGUCCCGUUUCGUCGCCGUGCCCGGGUGCGGGUGACGCCCUCACCAAUCGCGCGGCUGCCGCGGGUAAGUCCCUUCUCUAGCGCUUAGUGGCUAACGUAACGGCUAUGCGUCUUUAGCUUUGAGCUUCUGGCAACUCCUCCGAUGCAGCUUUUGGAAAGUCAGAAGCUAAGAGCUGUGUUUGUAGGGAAAGCUAAAAAGAUUAGUUUGCUCUUCGUAACUUUUUAAAUUCAGAAAGCUGAAAACAUCUUCUAAAAAUUAGUAUUAACUUUUCUAAAAAAACCAACUCCUCAGGAAAGAUCAAAAACUGCGGCUCAGAGACCACGGCCGCGCGCGCAACGACUUCUCCGCCCGGCGCGAUCCGCGGUGGCAGCAGAUGCUCGAGUCGUGCCGCUGUUUUUUUCGCGCUACCGCCGGCGGCAACGGAUUAGGCGCAAGAUACGUGUGCUCUCCCUCGGCGAACAGAACAGGAACUACACGUACGACGAGUACUACAA